UACAGAGGUCUCAACCGUUGUUCGGAUUCAUUGGGCGUAAAGGGUGCGUAGGCGGUCGCGCAAGUCGGAUGUGAAAUCUUAGGGCUCAACCCUGAAACUGCAUUCGAUACUGCGUGGCUUGAGUACUGGAGAGGAGACUGGAAUUUACGGUGUAGCAGUGAAAUGCGUAGAUAUCGUAAGGAACGUCGAUGGCGAAGGCAGCCACCUGGCCUAAUACUGACGCUGAGGCGCGAAAGCGUGGGGAGCGAACAGG
rnacentral:rRNA from 1 species